rnacentral:rRNA from 1 species
GACGAACGCUGGCGGCGUGCUUAACACAUGCAAGUCGAACGGAAAGGCCCUGCUUGCAGGGUGCUCGAGUGGCGAACGGGUGAGUAACACGUGGGUGAUCUGCCCCUUACUUUGGGAUAAGCCUGGGAAACUGGGUCUAAUACUGGAUAGGACCAUGCUGUAGGUGGUGUGGUGGAAAGAUUAGUUUCGGUAAGGGAUGACCUCGCGGCCUAUCAGCUUGUUGGUGGGGUAAUGGCCUACCAAGGCGUCGACGGGUAGCCGGCCUGAGAGGGUGGACGGCCACAUUGGGACUGAGAUACGGCCCAGACUCCUACGGGAGGCAGCAGUGGGGAAUAUUGCACAAUGGGCGCAAGCCUGAUGCAGCGACGCCGCGUGGGGGAUGACGGCCUUCGGGUUGUAAACUCCUUUCAGCCAUGACGAAGCCCUUGUGGUGACGGUAGUGGUAGAAGAAGCACCGGCUAACUACGUG